CCGACCCUUACUCUGAGGAUGACACCAGUACCAUCCUCUUGCCUGUAUUUGUAGCAGUAGGCGCAUUCUUCCCACUUUUGUUUUGUUUAUGUAAACUUUGAUCAAAUUAAGUAUUUUUAUUAAAAAAUGUUAAAAUCCUUUUACAAGAUAUAUAUUAUGCAACAUUAUAAAAUUUCCUUUUAAAAUUUAGAUUUUUUUCAUUUUUAAAUUACUGGUAUUACAAAAUGUACUGUAUUUGCUUUCGAACAGUGUGCUUGAUACUUUAUAUUACUUAACAGUUUGCAACUUAAAAGUUUAGCAUUUGACCAUCCUGUUUUUAUAUUGGUGACUCCUACAAGAUUUUUAGCAUCACAGAUAUUGUGUUAUGAGUGGUUACAAUUCACCAUCAUUUUUUUCAGCCCCAGAUAUUUGUCUAAUCCAUUGCCAUGUUUCAUUGAUUUACAAACCUCUCAGGUUAUAUAAAGACACCAUUUUUCUGAAUCCCUUGUUACAAAGUAUGAACGCAUUUUUAAUACAUAUAUUUUUUUGUGGAGUUUAUAUUUCAUCUUUCAUUUUUUAGUGCCAUACAACACAAAAGAGCUUGCGUCAUGUAAAAAUAUAUAACCUGCUCAGUAAUUUCUUUCUAUGGUUGGCUUUAAAAUUAACAUGGUUUAAAUACUUGCAUUUCAUUAAAAACAUUUAACGUUUUGCCAUUCCAGAUUAACAUAUUAUUUGACAUCACAUAAUUGCAUGAAAUCAAAUGCCUAUGGAAUAUAAAAAAGAAAUUGUAGAGUUGUAAUUGAUUACAAGGUAAUAGACCUAAAUACUAGAAUGUGGUUUUAGGUAAAAUGUUUUUUGUUUUAAUUAAAUGGGCAGAUGAAUUGAGUUGUAAGUUAUAAGGGUUUACAUGGAGUUGUAGCUCUUUUGAGGGUUCACUAGAGAAUUAGCUAUCAUCACUAUAUAAUCAUUCCAACAUUUUCAAACCAUUUAUAAGUGUUAGUUUAUAUAUAAUCUAUUGUAUUUGUCAAUAAUUGUGUGAAUAAUGGUGCAAGAAUAUGCCUUCUAUUAUUUAAAUCAUUUUAAUUUAUCAAAUUUUUUUUCUGUUCAGUUUUAUUUUUUAUAGUCAAGAUUUUGUGUAAUAUUUUGACAUUUCUUACACCAAUAUCUUCUUAUAUUAUAGAAAUUUUAAAUGAUAGAUCAUAAUACUAAUAUAUAUUUACGUCAAUCUACCGGUACUUGUAAAACUUUAAAGAUAACUGAUGAGUUUGCAUAGUUUUCGAUUAUUCAUUUACCCUUAUUUCAUUUGGUCAUGUGUUUGCAUAAAAGGAAGAGUCUUUCAUAGAUAUAUGAAAUGUAUCACUUUCACAGUGUGAGCAGAUGUAAUGACUGUUUGUAAGAGUGAGUCAAUAUGACACCAUUGUUUGAACUCUUUACUGAACAAUCUCACCUUUGUGUUCUGAUCAGAGACAAUUGACCAGCUGAGCGAUUAAUUUCAUAUCCAUAGGUAAUGCAACAUUAGCUUUAAAUUUUGUUAAACAGUAAACACAAUGAAUUAACUGUGCUCAGUGAUAAUUAAGGAGGCUGGAUGGUUAACAUGUUACUUAUCAGACCUAUCGUAACAUUUUGGGAAUUUUUUUUAAUAGUUUAAAAAUGACCACACUCAACCAGCCCACUUAACUCUUGUAUUAUAUCUGGUGCAAAAAUGUUAUUGAGGAAGCUUUAUGUAUUUUUAGUUCAAUGAAAUUCCAUACCAGUCCUGUAUCUAUUUAACUUUUAAAGAUUCUAUCGUAAGCAGCAAUUUCUGUAGUAGUGUUGUUCUGUUGUUGAUUUAAUAGGAUAGAUUAGUUAUUAUUGUGCAAUAUUGGUGGAGCUUUGAUCAGUGCCAGGUAUAUGUAACCAUGAUCAAAGCUUAGAUACUCUGAAUGAUGUUAUGUCAUUUUAUUUUGCCAACAGUUAUUGAAGCCUAGAUAAGAAAUACAAGUACUUAAUAUCAUCUUAAAGAUAUAUUAACCAAAUGUCAAAGUUUUUAAAAUAUGUUGUAAAUGAAUAUAAGCUUAUUUUUGCAAUAGUUGGUUAGUAAGUUAGUUGUAGAUAAGUCUUGAUUUUUGAUAUUUGCACAUUCAUGGAAAACUACCACAAGUGAAGGAAGCAAGACACUGGUUUAAAGACAGCCUUUUAGGUUGUGUAAAGAAUUAUAUUAACUAAAAAUGAAAGUAUUGUAAGCAUUUUUACUUCCAAAAGUGUGUAGGGUUGUGUGUAUAAGAGAGUAAGUAGAUUUUAUUUAUGUUGUUAAUUAUGAAUAUCCCUGGCAUGAAUGGACAGCAAACACAAAUUUGUGUGACAAAACUGUCCAUAGCCUCAUACAUGUAUAUGUUUUCUAUAAUAGAAACUAACUGUGUAUAUGCAAUCAGUUUUGCAAUAGAAAUGAAAGAUAGUUAAAUAUUGUUUAAAGAUGAAUCAUUGUCACUAACUGAUUAUAAUUGUGUCUGUGUGUUCUCUGACUAUUUGUAGGUGUGCUAUCAUCACUCUUUAAAGUUUUAAAAUAAAACUUGAACAAAUUGU
rnacentral:misc_RNA from 1 species